rnacentral:rRNA from 1 species
GACGAACGCUGGCGGCGUGCUUAACACAUGCAAGUCGAACGGAAAGGCCCUGCUUUUGUGGGGUGCUCGAGUGGCGAACGGGUGAGUAACACGUGAGUAACCUGCACUUGACUUUGGGAUAACUUCAGGAAACUGGGGCUAAUACCGGAUAGGAGCUCCUGCUGCAUGGUGGGGGUUGGAAAGUUUCGGCGGUGGGGGAUGGACUCGCGGCUUAUCAGCUUGUUGGUGGGGUAGUGGCUUACCAAGGCUUUGACGGGUAGCCGGCCUGAGAGGGUGACCGGCCUCAUUGGGACUGAGAUACGGACCAGACUGCUACGGGAGGCAGCAGGGGGGAAUAUUGCACAACGGGCGGAAGCGUGAUGCAGCAACGCCGCGUGCGGGAUGACGGCUUUCGGGUUGUAAACCGAUUUCGCCUGUAACGAAGCGUGAGUGACGGUAAUGGGUAAAGAAGCACCGGCUAACUACGUG